rnacentral:lncRNA from 1 species
CAUGGUAUGGGGGCAAGGAGAUCUAGAAACUCUCAGAGUUAGAAGGAGGCCGAAUAUCGAGUCGAGGUGGGGAUUGUUAAGAUUUGACGUCUCUAGAGUCGAUCUACAUUGAGCUCACAGUGAGGUUUGCGAUAAAAAAUGGAGUCCAAUAAGACCAAGAACAUCCCAAACGGAGCUCGGACAGAGAAGAUACGUGCUUUUGAAGUUGGCAUGCAACCCGAGACGAUGGAGGACCGCCAGUGGACGGCGGUGGGCCGGCGGAGCGGCUACGGCAUGGCCGCAAGUGGCGAAACGCGGCCAGUGCACG